rnacentral:ncRNA from 1 species
GGCUGGGGGUGCCUCGCGCGAGGCUGAGAGAGUCCCUUUGAACUUGGUCAAGUUAGUACUUGCGAAAGGAAGCAAAAUC